rnacentral:lncRNA from 1 species
GGAGGAUUUUUCACCCUAGCCAACCCUCCAUUCUGCUAGAAAUGGGACACUGGCCCUGACAUUCUAAAACACUAGGCUGAUGACUCUUGUCCUUAUUCUGUCUUGGUGUUUGGAAGAAAGAAUGGGUGAAAAUAUACAGCAGGUUAGCAGCCAGCCAUUAGGAAGAGCAGCUGCUGCCUGCCAAAGCCUGUUCUUAAAGAGGGCAGAUGCUCCUAGAGCAGCCUGACUGACUCAGGUCCAGAGAGGUCUGGCCAUUUCCUCAGGGGAGCUGGCCAGGGGCUUCUGUUUGGCUGCCCUAUGCGAGUCAGGCUCACUGACCAAGAUCAGCUCUUGGAGCUUCUGUGGGGGCAACAUCCACUUGACCCCAGGUUAUGAGCAGGGUUUCUGGACAAACCAGUUCCCACUGCCCACCUCACAGGACCUUCUGUCUGCAGGAUGCUGUUCUCUCAUGACAGCUCUACCCUCAGAUCACCAGAGCCUAAAACAUGUACUAGGAAUUCACUUUGUAGCACAGCACAUUCCAGGUCCCUGUGUAGGGUGGCCACACCCAGAUUCCAAAGGAGAAUCUCAGCAGCCUCAGCUCCUCCUGUGGGUCUUCCCUACCUCCUCAGGUGUGUCUGCUACGUGACUUUGAGCCAUGGUGCUGUAAGGCAGGGAUGUGGCCUGCUUCUGUGUUUGUGCAUGAUGUCCUUUGUCCCAGGCAAGAGGUAGGUUUUUUUUGUUUUUGUUUUUUUUUUCAUCUGAAGCACAUUUCCAUGACUGUCCUGGUUUUAUUGAAGAACCAGGGAGUGUGCACAAUCUACUCUGUGCACCACCCUCCUGUAAGCUCCAGGAACCCAUACUCUGUCUCAAGAAUCUUCCAAGGGCUUCUCUCUAGCUUCUGAGCUAAACUUCCUGAUAUUGCCUCUUAUGCCCCCGUAUAUUGCACCUUCACUGGCCUGCUUGACCUCCGCCACACAGCCCACGCUCUCAGCCUUGGAUAUUUGUCCUUGUGGCUCCUAACCACAAAUCUUGCUAUUAGAAUUAUCCAGACAAACAGAACCAAUAGGAUGGCUAGCUAGAUAGAUUAUGUCCACCAGUCCCCUCAUCCAUUCAUAUCUAUGUAUCUAUGUAUCUGUGUAUCUAUCUAUCUAUCUAUUCAUCUAUCUAUCUGUUGAUUUAUUUAAGGAAUUGGAUCACAUGAUUGUAGAGACUGGCAAGCCCUAACUCUGUAGAAUAGCACAGUGGGCUGGAACCCCAGGAAAGAGUUGAUGUUGAAGUUUUGAGUCUGAAGGCUGAAUGGAGGCAGAAUCCCUCCUUCCUUGGGGAACCUGUCUUCUCUCUUAAGGCCUUUAAUUGAUUAAUGAGGCCCAUCUACCUUAUGGAGGUUGACUUGCUUUACUCAAAGUUCACUGAUUUCAGUGUAAAUUAUAUCUAAAAAGUACUGCCCCAGCAGCAUCUGGACUGGUGUUUGACUGAACAGCCAGGUUCCAUAGUCUGCACACCUUGACAUAGAAUUAACCAUCACACCCUGUUUCAGGGUUUACCUCCAGUGUGGCUGGUUCAUAUCAAUUGGCAUUAUUUGAGUCUUUAUUCCAUACCAGAUACUGUGUUAGGUGCUUUCUUCAACUAAUUUGAUUUAAUCCUCAUUAUAGCCCUAUGAUACAGGUUCUAUUUUGACUCUUAGUUUAGAGAGAAGCGAGUUAAGGUUGAGAGAAGUUGCACAGCAAGCUGAGGAACUGGGGUUUGAAGCCAGUAAGUUCCACUUAGGUGUCUAUUGCUUUAGCUGCACAUGGUUCUGCUGCCUCUUUAAGAGUCUCUGGAGGCUCUGCCUACUUCCUAGCCCCUGAGUCAUGGCACUGUCAUUAUUUGCAGGUCUUAGAGGCAUCCCCCCUCAUCCACCCAUGUCUGACCCCCCUUUCCCUAUUUGUUGGGAGCAGAUAGUGUGUUUUUUGAUCAAGAGUGGAGUCCAGCAUUGUGUGGGGCCAGGCAUCUCUGACUGCCCUCUGCCAUGUCCCUACCACAGCAGCUAGGUACUCCUGCAUGGCCAUUGUCCCUGGCUGGGCAUUGUGACCACAAGCUCCUGAGCCCUUCCAGCCUCUGCUGAUAACAAAUUGGGAGAAAGCCUGGCUCUGGUCUGAGGAGUCAGAGGAGGUCAGCACCAGCAGGGCACUAUGGCCUGUCUGCAGCAGAGGCCAUUAACAGAACCUCAGCCAACAGGGCUACUUAAGCAGCCCAGGAAUGCGAUUCCAGCCCUGUCCUAGCAACACUGCCUGAGUUCUCCAGGUUUAGCUUUCUUUCCCCAUGAACUCUGUGAACCACUGAUUUCAGUCUUUGUGUGGCCCUGUGUUAUGCUCACUGGCUUCCCUGGGAGCCAGCAUACUGGCCUUAUUCCCUCACCUUAGUCCCAGGGGAUGGAAGCUGCUUUCCCACUGCCUGCCUGCCCCUGCCUGGCUGAGGAAUGGAAGACACUGUAGGCUUUAAUCUGCCUCUUCCUUGUAGUGGGUGGAUAACUCAUCCCUCGUAUCUGUGAAUAUAACCUUACUUGGAAAAGAGGUGUUUGUGGAUGCACUUAGCCUGAUGAUCUGGAGAUGGAAUUUUCUGGAUGGGCCCAAAAUCCAAUGGUAGCUGUCCUUUCAAAAGUGAGGCAGAGGGAGCUCAGAGACUAGAGUAGGGUGUGUGCAAACAGAGGCAUAGAUGAAGUUAUGCAGCUCAGGUCAAACAACGGCAGGAGUCUCCAGAAGCUGGAAGAACCAAGGAAGAAUCCUUCCACAGAGCCUGCAGAGGGCACUUAAUCUGAAAGGAUUCUCCCCUAGAGCCUGUUAACACCUUGAUCUUGGACUUCUGGCUCCAGAACUGUGAGAGCAUACACUUGUAAUUGUAAGUCAUAAAAUUUGUGGCCAUGGGGCUGGGGAUGUGGCUCAAGUGGUAACGCACUUGCCUGGCAUGCAUGGGGUGCUGGGUUCGAUCCUCAGCACCACAUAAAAAUAAAAUAAAGAUGUUAUGUCCACCGAAAACUGAA